GAUGAACGCUGGCGGCGUGCCUAAUACAUGCAAGUCGAGCGAAUGGAUUAAGAGCUUGCUCUUAUGAAGUUAGCGGCGGACGGGUGAGUAACACGUGGGUAACCUGCCCAUAAGACUGGGAUAACUCCGGGAAACCGGGGCUAAUACCGGAUAACAUUUUGAACCGCAUGGUUCGAAAUUGAAAGGCGGCUUCGGCUGUCACUUAUGGAUGGACCCGCGUCGCAUUAGCUAGUUGGUGAGGUAACGGCUCACCAAGGCAACGAUGCGUAGCCGACCUGAGAGGGUGAUCGGACACACUGGGACUGAGACACGGCCCAGACUCCUACGGGAGGCAGCAGUAGGGAAUCUUCCGCCAUGGACGAAAGUCUGACGGGGCAACGCCGCGUGAGUGAUGAAGGCUUUCGGGUCGUAAAACUCUGUUGUUAGGGAAGAACACGUGCUAGUUGAAUAAGCUGACACCUUGACGGUACCUAACCAGAAAGCCACGGCUAACUACGUGCCAGCAGCCGCCGUAA
rnacentral:rRNA from 1 species